UACGUAGGGGGCAAGCGUUGUCCGGAUUUAUUGGGCGUAAAGAGCGUGUAGGCGGCCAGGUAGGUCUGCUGGUGAAAACUCGGAGGCUUAACCUCGAGCUGUCGGCGGAAACCAUCUGGCUAGAGUCCGGAAGAGGAGAAUGGAAUUCCCGGUGUAGCGGUGAAAUGCGCAGAUAUCGGGAAGAACACCCGUGGCGAAGGCGGUUCUCUGGGACGGUACUGACGCUGAGACGCGAAAGCGUGGGGAGCGAACAGG
rnacentral:rRNA from 1 species